UACGGGGGGGGCAAGCGUUGUUCGGAAUUACUGGGCGUAAAGGGCUCGUAGGUGGCCAACUAAGUCAGACGUGAAAUCCCUCGGCUUAACCGGGGAACUGCGUCUGAUACUGGAUGGCUUGAGUUCGGGAGAGGGAUGUGGAAUUCCAGGUGUAGCGGUGAAAUGCGUAGAUAUCUGGAGGAACACCGGUGGCGAAGGCGGCAUCCUGGACCGACACUGACACUGAGGAGCGAAAGCCAGGGGAGCAAACGGG
rnacentral:rRNA from 1 species